rnacentral:rRNA from 1 species
AGCGAACAUUGGCGGUAGGCUUAACACAUGCAAGUCGAGCGAGGCGUAAUAGUCGAGCGGCGAACGGGUGCGUAAUACAUGGGAAUCUACCUUGAGGUGGGGGAUAACGUCAGGAAACUGACGCUAAUACCGCAUAAUCCAUAUUGGGAAAGCGUUGCAGCGCUUCAAGAUGAGCCCAUGGCUGAUUAGCUAGUUGGUGAGAUAAAGGCUCACCAAGGCUACGAUCAGUAGCUGGUCUGAGAGGAUGACCAGCCACAUUGGGACUGAGACACGGCCCAAACUCCUACGGGAGGCAGCAGUGGGGAAUCUUGCGCAAUGGGCGAAAGCCUGACGCAGCCAUGCCGCGUGGAUGAUGAAGGUCUUAGGAUUGUAAAAUCCUUUCACCGGUGAAGAUAAUGACUGUAGCCGGAGAAGAAGCCCCGGCUAACUUCGUGCCAGCCGCCGCAGUAAGAC